AAGCUGGCAAACAAAAGGGCGGCCACCAAGUCUACAGCAAACUUCUCCUCUAUCAUUCCGGCUCCACUCUGCAGCUCGUUGACCACCUCAUCGAGGAAAUCACCAUGACGCUUUUCAGGUGUACGGAGCCUUUCUUUCACCUUUGCUUGUAGAAGGACGGGACAUCGAGAGAAGGGCUUGGCUUGAAGAACUGGAAGGUCUCACCGACGAGAGGGAAGCCCAUGGAUCCCGGAGGGAGCCUCCCACUGUUGCAUGGGGGAUUCAUCCACUUGUACACGCAGUGUAGGAGCCAACCUGCUGCAACAACGGCAAGGGCACACAGGGAUGCAUAUUGCACUUGCGAUGAGGACCCCUCCAUCUCAAAAGAUGGGAUUCCCCUCAAAGAUAGAGAUGCUCUAGUCUCUGGAGAUCUUCAAGAGAAGUGAUCUUUGGCUUCUUCGUUCACGUACAGAAGAGAUGCCUCGUACAUGGUGUUUAUAUCGGCCGGCCGGGGGUGUCACACUUUCGGCCUACGUCUCUGCGAUAAACCGUUUCGUUUAACAUAAACUACUCACCACUUUCACGUAAGGACAAGUGUUUCAUGUAUUAUUGCUAUAAGUACAGUACCAGCUGACUUAUAGGAGAUCCUCUAUAAACUAGUAUUUGUAUAUGCAUCAA